CGGACGGGUGAGUAAUGUCUGGGAAACUGCCCGAUGGAGGGGGAUAACUACUGGAAACGGUAGCUAAUACCGCAUAACGUCGCAAGACCAAAGAGGGGGACCUUAGGGCCUCUUGCCAUCGGAUGUGCCCAGAUGGGAUUAGCUAGUAGGUGGGUAGUGGCUCACCUAGGCGACGAUCCCUAGCUGGUCUGAGAGGAUGACCAGCCACACUGGAACUGAGACACGGUCCAG
rnacentral:rRNA from 1 species